AGACGUCUACAUUAGAUACCCCGGUAGUCCCAGCCGUAAACUAUGCGCGUUAGGUGUAUCGGUGACCACGAGUCACCGAGGUGCCGAAGGGAAACCGUGAAACGUGCCGCCUGGGGAGUACGGUCGCAAGGCUGAAACUUAAAGGAAUUGGCGGGGAGCACCACAACGGGUGGAGCCUGCGGUUUAAUUGGACUCAACGCCGGGAAGCUCACCGGAUAAGACAGCGGAAUGAUUGCCGGGCUGAAGACUCUGCAUGACUAGCUG
rnacentral:rRNA from 1 species